GGAGAGAUGGCUGAGUGGUUGAAAGCCCCGGUUCUUGAAAACCGGUAAAGUUUACUAUCGAGGGUUCGAAUCCUCUCUCUCCU
rnacentral:tRNA from 1 species